ensembl:lncRNA
CGUUCUUGGAGCGCCGUAUCCACGGGCUUUAUUAAAGCAGAACAUGUGGAAGUGAGUCCUAUGGGCACCUUGAUAUCGGAACAGUCAUCAUGACUACACUUCGAAAGGCAUCAGCCACUUGACUUUGAACACUGGGCUUUGUGUUACAAAGAAUUUUACUUAGAAUUGCUCUCUACAAUUUUACUCUAGAAUUGCUCUAACUUUCUGCUAGUUCCAAACCUCUGUGGCUCAGAGACACUUUUUAUCACUUCAGAUCACUCUAAGCCAGAGCAUGCACAUCUGGGAAAGGGUGCAAACUUCAAAUUUCCUUUGACCCUAGCAGAAAAUACUGGCAAGCCCAAGGCCAGCAAGAUGCCACAGACUGUGAACAGGUUGCUCUAGUGGAGCCAGACCCCAAAACAUUUCUCUGCCAACCCUGUGAAUGUUUGCAAAGCAUGAACACUAUCCUUUGAGACACUGCUGAGAUGCCAAGUCAUCCAUGUACCUAAGCAGGUCACUCUUUGAGCUUAUGUUAUUGACCCAGGUGUCUUUCUAAUUGGUUUUCUGACUUCAGCUGCUAAGUUUGGGGAGAUCCCCAGCUAGCCCAAGGCCAGGAAUUGUGGCCAGAUCAAGCCACAGGCAGGCAGGCAGGCAUAACCUGCUGGCACAGCAGACGUUGAGCUCAGGGAGGAUGAGCAUGCUGCAUUGGUAAAAAAAGGCUGAGCCAACCUCCCAGCAAACUGGUAAGGCUUGAAGCAGGAGGAAGCUGUGAGUCUGUCUCUUUGCAGCUGUGCUGUGGGGCUUGACCUGCAACUUUAAGAAUGGACAGCAGUCACUAGUGCCUGGCAUCAAAGCAUGCCAGCAAGAAAUUUGUUUCCUGGUUCCAGUUCACUGCAGCUGGAGUUAUUUACCUGGUACGUGACAGGCACUGGUGCCAGCAACCACUGUUCUGUAUGUAUGUAUGUAUCACUCCCACAAGUUAGCAUGAGUGCAUCUCAAGGUUUAAAAGCAAUGGCACACAAUCAUUUCAAACUGUCUGCUAAUUGGCAAGAAAGUACAGGUGAGCUGGGCAGAGUUGGUCUGCUCCUGGCCAAAUGAAAUACAUGGGGCAGCACCAAUCUUUUCAAACAGUGGUUGUUUAAGAUCAGCCUUCUCUCAGGAUCAUAACAAUAAGCUUUUCAUGCUUCCCGGAAAGAAUAGACCCAAGGGGCUCAAGGUCUUAUCACCCUUAACAGGAAGUAUAGAAAGCUCCACUCUGGAUGUAGUGGGCAGAAAGAGGUGAAAUGACAAACGUUUUGUCUUGGAAAAUAAAUCCAACUACACCUCCCAUCAAAUUAAAUAAUUCUAGGAUAAAACUAAUUCAUAAAACUGAGACACCCAA